AAGAAUAUUACAAAUGAAAAUAUCUCAAAAGUUACAUGCAAAAAAUGUCUGCAAAUGAUUCAAAAAUAAAUUGGAAAUUAAAAUUCAAAAGAAAAUGAAACAAAAAUAUUAAUAAAUGCAAAAACGAUUAUAAAAAUUAUGAAAAAAAUAUAUGAAAUAUAAAAUAUUUUUAUGCAAUUUCUAUAAAAUAAUUGGAUUACAUUGAAUUAAAAAUCAUUCAAAAUAAAAUCAUAAAAGAAGAAGAAAAAAAAGUUUGAAUUAGG
rnacentral:lncRNA from 1 species